rnacentral:rRNA from 1 species
UCCAUGGCUCAGAUUGAACGCUGGCGGCAGGCCUAACACAUGCAAGUCGAGCGGAUGACAGGAGCUUGCUCCUGAAUUCAGCGGCGGACGGGUGAGUAAUGCCUAGGAAUCUGCCUGGUAGUGGGGGACAACGUUUCGAAAGGAACGCUAAUACCGCAUACGUCCUACGGGAGAAAGCAGGGGACCUUCGGGCCUUGCGCUAUCAGAUGAGCCUAGGUCGGAUUAGCUAGUUGGUGAGGUAAUGGCUCACCAAGGCGACGAUCCGUAACUGGUCUGAGAGGAUGAUCAGUCACACUGGAACUGAGACACGGUCCAGACUCCUACGGGAGGCAGCAGUGGGGAAUAUUGGACAAUGGGCGAAAGCCUGAUCCAGCCAUGCCGCGUGUGUGAAGAAGGUCUUCGGAUUGUAAAGCACUUUAAGUUGGGAGGAAGGGCAGUAACCUAAUACGUUAGUGUUUUGACGUUACCGACAGAAUAAGCACCGGCUAACU